rnacentral:sRNA from 1 species
CAUUUGCGUUAGGGAUUGCAGUGAAAAUACUUUUUUUAAAGCUCAUUUUGCUUAAAAAAAGAUUGUAACGAAAAGCCCGACCCUUG